AUGGUUCAAGCAGGUGGAGAUUUUUCAGUUGCUAAGUUUUUUCCUGUGUUUCAAACUAUUAUUCUUUCAUUUGAGAAAGAGGGGAAAAAGGUUGAGGGUGUUUCGGGUCUCCAGUUAAAACCCCCAUCCCCAUUAACCUUUCUGAGUGUCCCUAAACCCUCUUCUCUAUCUGAUGGGCAGUCGGCAGGUGAACAUAGCCACCAGGCACAGCGUUGCUACUGUCUCCCUGACACCCCCCCACCGCCUCUCUACCCUUACCAGGACAGUACUGGCCAUGCCACUCUGGGUCUUUCCUCUACCCUCCUCCCUAUGCCUACAUACCCACUUGUAUCCCCCCUGGUUCAUGAUAUCACUAAAGAUGGUGCUGGCAACAUGGCCAGCCCCGCCAUCUUGUCUCCUUCACACCCAGGUUUUCCUGCCCUUGCACCCCAAAAUGGCCACUUUCCCACCUCUACCCCUUCUCUUCCUGUUGCGCCCUGCUCCGCUUCCUCUCCUACUGCGUCGUUGGGUGUAACUGCGUCAGGCCCCUCCCCGGCCACUGGGAAACUCCUACCCGUUGUGGACCCCAGUCACGCCCCUUCCAACCAGAGCUCCACCCCCGCUGGCACUCCCACUCCCAAUCCCCGCCACACCAGGACUGGAAGUAGUAAUGACAGCAACCGGAAGGUAGCCAUCUUGUCUUCCUCGGCCACUCACAAGCAAACCAGUACUGGCUGCCCAAAACUGCCACGUGCUGUCAUCAAGCAUCCCCCAUCCCCACUAGGGGAUGAAAACAGCAAGUCCUCAUAUGCAGAAUCUGAAUAUGAAGACCACUGGGCCAAGGUACAAAGGGAAGCCACGUGGGCAGGAGACUCAGCCCUGUCUAAAAAGAUAUUAGCUUUCCCUGUGGUACAGAGAAAGGACAGGGCAGGGGCACUCAUUAAUGUAUGGGAGUCCCUACACUAUAGAGAGUUACAGGUGCUGUGCAAAGCCACUGAGGAGCAUGGUAGAGGCUCUCACUUUUUCAAAAACUUACCAGAAGCCACCUUCACCACCCAUGUCAUGGUCCCUCAUGACAUCAAAAACAUUAUAAACUGCCUGCUUUCCCCGGCAGAAUAUAUGCUGUGGGAAAAGCAGUAG
rnacentral:lncRNA from 1 species